rnacentral:rRNA from 1 species
AUUGAACGCUGGCGGCAUGCUUUACACAUGCAAGUCGAACGGUAACAGGCCGCAAGGUGCUGACGAGUGGCGAACGGGUGAGUAAUGCAUCGGAACGUGCCCAGUCGUGGGGGAUAACGCAGCGAAAGCUGCGCUAAUACCGCAUACGAUCUCUGGAUGAAAGCGGGGGACCGAAAGGCCUCGUGCGAUUAGAGCGGCCGAUGUCAGAUUAGGUAGUUGGUGGGGUAAAGGCUCACCAAGCCAACGAUCUGUAGCUGGUCUGAGAGGACGACCAGCCACACUGGGACUGAGACACGGCCCAGACUCCUACGGGAGGCAGCAGUGGGGAAUUUUGGACAAUGGGCACAAGCCUGAUCCAGCAAUGCCGCGUGCAGGAAGAAGGCCUUCGGGUUGUAAACUGCUUUUGUACGGAACAAAACGGUCCUGGUUAAUACCUGGGGCUAAUGACGGUACCGUAAGAAUAAGCACCGGCUAACUACGUGCCAGCAGCCGCCGCAGUAA